GAGUGAAAUACAUCGUUAGUUUUACCUUUGCUGAGUGAACAGAUCUUUGGUUUUGCCUUUGCUGACUACUGAUCUGAUCGUCUCCACGCUGGUGACCUGCUGUAGAAGCCCCUCUCCCUCUAUCAUUAUCAAGCAAUUCUGUCUGUCCUAUCACUCUCCCUGCUCUAUCUAAUUUGACAGCCAUUCUAUCUUGUAUCAAUCUAUCCCAUCUGCUCUAUCUAAUUUGACAGCCAUUCUAUCUUGUAUCACUCUAUCCCUACUGCUCUAUCUAAUUUGACA